AUAUCCUACUUGGUUGGAUUUGCCUUGUUUUUUUUUAAAACAUUUCUAAAGUUGUCGUUGAUUCAGAAAUUUACAUUCUACUUCUUGGAUUGCAUAAUCACUAUACAUUUGCAUAAGAGUACCUUCUUCCAAAUGACUUCAAACCAAGGAACGAUGGCAUCCACCAACGAAGCACCAAUUCCACACAUCCAAAUACACCAACUAAAAAAAUUUCAAAGAGAUUGGACUAUUCUUGUUGUUAUCCUAAGAACUAUCGAGUCAUCUUAUGAGAACAACAAAGGAUCAGGAAAACUACUAAAAUUAUUUUUUGCCGACUCAGAGGUAAUGUAGCAAAAUUCUACAUGCUAUAAUUCUAUUGAUAUUUGUUGAUACUUAUUCUUAA